GUCUACAGCCAUGCCACCCUGAACACAUCCAAUCUCGUCUGAUCUUGGAAGCCAAGCAGGGUCGGGCCUGGUUAGUACUUGGAUGGGAGGCCACCUAAAAAAGACCGGGUGCUGCAGGUG
rnacentral:rRNA from 1 species